rnacentral:rRNA from 1 species
UACGUAGGGGGCAAGCGUUGUCCGGAUUUAUUGGGCGUAAAGAGCGUGUAGGCGGCUUUACAGGUCCGUUGUGAAAACUCGAGGCUCAACCUCGAGACGCCGGUGGAAACCGUAAGGCUAGAGUCCGGAAGAGGAGAGUGGAAUUCCUGGAUGUAGCGGUGAAAUGCGCAGAUAUCAGGAGGAACACCCGUGGCGAAAGCGGCUCUCUGGGACGGUACUGACGCUGAGACGCGAAAGCGUGGGGAGCAAACAGG